UACAGAGGUCCCAAGCGUUGUUCGGAUUCAUUGGGCGUAAAGGGCGCGUAGGCUGCGGGGCAAGUCGGGUGUGAAAUCUCAGAGCUCAACUCUGAAACUGCACUCGAUACUGCUUUGCUUGAGGACUGGAGAGGAGAUUGGAAUUCACGGUGUAGCAGUGAAAUGCGUAGAUAUCGUGAGGAAGACCAGUGGCGAAGGCGGAUCUCUGGACAGUUCCUGACGCUGAGGCGCGAAGGCCAGGGGAGCAAACGGG
rnacentral:rRNA from 1 species